ensembl:snoRNA
ACUACCCCUAGAGGCCUUGAAAGUGUGGUGUCUGUGUCACAUGCGUGUCAGUUUAUGACAUGAGGAGCCAGGCUAUGUCUGUGCUCAGCAUUAUGACCUGUGAACAUCUGAAUGAUUAGCAGCCUAACGUU